GACUUUUUUGUUUUUCUGAAGCUCUGCCAGCUGAGGGUUGGGCUGGAGGACUUGGACUGGAACAGGUUGGACUGGAAAGGUUGGGUUGGAUAAUUUGGGUUGGACAGGUUGGGUUGGGACAGGUUGGACUGGAAAGGUUGGGUUGGAUAAUUUGGACUGGCACAGGUUGAGUUGAAUAACUUGGACUGGCACAGGUAGGACUGGCACAGGUUGGGUUGGAUAAUUUGGAUUGGGACAGGCUGGAUUGGGACAGGUUGGACUGGCACAGGUUGGGUUGGAUAAUUUGGACUGGCACAGGUUGGACUGGCACAGGUUGGGUUGAAUAAUUUGGACUGGCACAGGUUGAGUUGAAUAACUUGGACUGGCACAGGUAGGACUGGCACAGGUUGGGUUGGAUAAUUUGGAUUGGGACAGGCUGGAUUGGGACAGGUUGGACUGGCACAGGUUGGGUUGGAUAAUUUGGACUGGCACAGGUUGGACUGGCACAGGUUGGGUUGGAUAAUUUGGAUUGGGACAGGUAGGAAUGGCACAGGUUGGGUUGGAUAAUUUGGAUUAGACAGGUUGGACUGGCACAGGUUGGACUGGGACAGAUCAGGUUGGAUAAUUUGGACUGGCACAGGCUGGAUUGGGACAGGUUGGACUGGGACAGGUUGGACUGGCUCAGGUUGGACUGGCACAGGUCGGGUUGGAUAAUUUGGACUGGCCCAGGUAGGCCUGGCACUGGUUGGGUUGG